GAAAUGUUCGAACUACGAAGCGGUUUGACUGUCAACAUAAUAACGACUGGGCAACAAGACGUCGUUGCUUUGUCCAAAUGUGAAUGGACUUUCCAUUUGAAUACGGUUAAUGGCGGCAACGAGAGAGAGAAAACCUACUGUCACCACCGCCGGAAGCUCCAGCACCAUCACUAUUGGACGCGCAUUUACCACAAUCCAAGAGAUAGUAACAUUCGAGAAGGAAAUAGAAAAGAGCAAAUUCAUAGUCAUUGCUGGCCUCAUCUCCGACUAACAAUCUGCUCAGUCUUUCCUCAGUCAGGUCAAGGAUCCCCGUGCCACUCACAAUUGCUGGGCUUAUAAGGUAUCUAAUACGCCGCCGCUUCCGUUAUCUGAUUCAAUUUCAGUUCAUAAUCUGACGUUGUUAGAAGGAUUAGAGUCGGGGAUCAGUACCGGUCGAGUGAUGACUGAUGACGGUGAACCUUCUGGAACGGCGGGGAAGCCGAUUCAUUCUUCGGUUGCUUUUUCCGGUUUGGAUAAAGUCAUGGUGGUCGUCAUCAGGUAAAUUGGGGGAAUUAAAUUGGGAACGGGAGGACUUGUUAGGGCUUACGGUUGAGUGACAUCGGAAUGCUUGAGAAAUGCUCCGAUUUGUCUUGUCAAAAAAGCAAGAAAACAAUUGAAGAUCUUUCGAUUUCAAUACAUUGAAAUUCUAAUAUUUGAUUGGAAUUUCCGAAAGGUUCCAAUGGGUGUGGAGGUUCCUUUCGAUCUCUCGCGAGUUCUAUACCGUCAACUGAGCAUUGUUUUGCAUUAGAAUUAUGCCUCGUUCAAGUAAAUUAAUAUUUUAGGGUUAAUCGUUAGCUUCUGUUAGUCGUAUGCAUAAUUAUUUCAAGCAAAACAAUUGUAGCAGAGGACAUUAAACAGGAUUAUGAUACUGGCGAAGAUGGGAUCGCCAUGGUUUCAUUCGAAGUUGAUUUUGAUCGGCUUGUGAAAUUAGAAGAGACUAUCAAAGCCAAUUGUAGCAGAGAACUUGUGUUUUAUAAGCGGUGAAACCGACUUUGCUCUGCAAUCUUUUCAGCUUUCCAGGAACAGGCAGGAUUGGUACGAACCAGAAGAUACAAACAGAUGAUUAUAAGAAGAUUGCCCGACUAAGGAAUGAGAAAAUGGGAAAAACAUUAAACAGUUACCUGUUUAAGACGAACCAUGGGGGAGCUCAGAUUUUCCUCCAGUAGAACUUGUUCAGUAGAAAGAAAGAUUGUAGAUCGGAAGAGAGAUUUUGAUCCAAGAUUGAACAAGGUAAUUCCCUUUUACUGCUUAUUAGCGAGAUGGCAUAUGCACGCAAAAGAGAAUAAGAGAUAUAGAAGCUAAUAAAUGAGAGUUAAUGUAUCAAGCAUGGGCUGAUUUUAUGAAAUAUUUGAUAUAAUCUAAACAUUUAACUCUUAAGAUAUUGGUAUCUAGAGUUGUUGAUUAUGAUCUUGAAGUUUGUUUCACAAUUUUAUCAUUUCAUUCUUCACAGAAACAAACUAAAAAAAAAAAUUUUGGAAUA